rnacentral:rRNA from 1 species
GACGAACGCUGGCGGCGUGCUUAACACAUGCAAGUCGAACGGAAAGGCCCUGCUUUUGUGGGGUGCUCGAGUGGCGAACGGGUGAGUAACACGUGAGUAACCUGCCCUUGACUUUGGGAUAACUUCAGGAAACUGGGGCUAAUACCGGAUAGGAGCUCCUGCUGCAUGGUGGGGGUUGGAAAGUUUCGGCGGUUGGGGAUGGACUCGCGGCUUAUCAGCUUGUUGGUGGGGUAGUGGCUUACCAAGGCUUUGACGGUUAGACGGCCUGAGAGGGUGACCGGCCACAUUGGGAAUGAGAUACGGCCCAGACUCCUACGGGAGGCAGCAGUGGGGAAUAUUGCACAAUGGGCGGAAGCCUGAUGCAGCAACGCCGCGUGCGGGAUGACGGCCUUCGGGUUGUAAACCGCUUUAGCCUGUGACGAAGCGUGAGUGUCGGUAAUGGGUAAAGAAGCACCGGCUAACUACGUG